GCGCCGACCGGGUGAUGCCCCGGAAGCCCGGGCGGGCCGUCGCUGCGUCACGCUGCUCGCCCGCGGGCGCCCGCCCUUGCGCGCACGUCUUGGCGCCGGGUUGCCAGCGGUGUCCGGCUAGCAGGGACCGCCGCGGGGGGUGCAACCGUUGUCCUGAGCCGUCCGCCGCGUCCCGGGUGAGCGGGCAUGCAUGGCUUCGUCCUUGGGGAGAGCGUCGCGCUCCGGCAGG
rnacentral:rRNA from 1 species